ACUCGAAAAAAAUUACACAAUGAGAAAUAAUAAGUGAUCAUUUUUAUACACAAGCGGAAAACGCAGGUAUCCUCAAAAAUGUACAUUUAGAGAUAGUGACAACCAAAUGCCAUCUUUCAUUUGACGGUAUGUGGCCGUUAUUAGUCGUCGUAAUUUCGUUGUCGUGCAGGGUCGGCCAAGCGCUGGAUUGCUACAGGUGCGACUCGAUAACGCGCGGUUUUGAUACUGAAAUUCAACUAGUCGACUGCAAAACAUUGCAUAAUCCUUACCGAAAUGGGACUUUGAGGGUACUUCUCGAAUGUGUACAAGAGCAAAAAGUGUUUUUUGUACCAGUUUUAGCAACCGGCGACAAUAACAGAUUAUGCCAACAGCAAAACGCGAUAGCUACCAAUUUUCAGGAGAAAGGAAAAAUGAAAAAAUGCGAGAUCCUCCACAGGGACAAAUGUAAUUCCACCCGGAACACUAAGUUAACUUUAGUACUAAAUUUAAUCGCAUUUUUUAUAUUCUACGAAUGUACAAAUUAUUAAUAACAAUAACAUUAUUGUCAUCUUUAUUUGUAGUAUAAUGUUCCUUUACGGUUUUGCUAAUCAAUUAUUUAUUUAUACAUUUUGGUUUAUUUGAAACGAAUGAAUUAUAUUUUUAUAACAAUG